UUUAUGGGUGAGAAAAAAUAUAUAUAUUGAGAUGGUGAAUACAUUGAUCUAUACAACUGUCAAACUAUGGAACUGUACGCUUGGUAAAUUUUAUUAUACGUACUGUAAUUAAAAAUAAUUAGUCUGUUUUAAAACAAAAAUCUGACAAUUGACACUUUCCUUCUAAAUUCCAUUGUGGACCCUCUGCUUUCAGGUACCCAAACCAUUUGCUUCAAGGUAAUCUCACAGAGGAAAAAAACAAAACAAAACAAAACAAGCACCACCACCACCAUCAACAAAAAACAACUCAUUGGAUAACACACGUUUGUCAGAAUAUUCUGCAUCAUACUGAAAAUCUCUGACCUGAAAAGAGUUUGAAAGUUGCGAUUGCUGUUCUUACAACAACAAAAACCUGAACCUUCACUUUUCUUGAAGCUAUUGUGGCACUUGGAUUGUGAAGCCAACUGCAAUGCCCAAGUCCAAAGAGAUAGACACAUCCAGAGGAGCCACAGCAAGGUCUGGAGAUGUGGAACGGAGCCAUGGAUUUUCUUUCACCAACUCAUAUAUCAAGAAGUGCUUUUUUAAGCUGCUCAAGGAAAGGUGCACUGGAAAAUGUAUGUCUUUUAAAGUAAGUAAUACCUUAAAAACAUUUUGAGAACAAGCUAAA